AUUUUUUUGUGAGUCAUUUUCCCUAGUUGUUCAAUUUUUUUUUUAUAGUAAACUGACUUCAUUAGCACUAAACUUUAAUUCCAUCCCCUGCAGGUUCAAAAAUGGCUCUUUUAGCUAUCCUUUUAAUGGGAAUUUCCCUCAUGUUUCAAUCAGCCCAUGGCUAUGGUGGUUGGAUCAAUGCACAUGCCACUUUUUACGGUGGAGGAGAUGCUUCUGGAACUAUGGGUGGUGCUUGU
rnacentral:misc_RNA from 1 species